AGGACGAACGCUGGCGGCGCGCUUAACACAUGCAAGUCGAGCGAUAACCAUGGCUUCGGCUAUGGGGAGAGCGGCGAACGGGUGAGUAACACGUGGGCAACCUGCCCCCGAAGAUCGGGACAACCCGGGGAAACCCGAGCUAAUACCGAAUGUGGUCACCGUCCACAAGGACGAUGAGCAAAGGGAGCUUCGGCCCCCGCUUCGGGAUGGGCCCGCGGCCCAUUAGCUUGUUGGUGAGGUAACGGCUCACCAAGGCGACGAUGGGUAGCUGGUCUGAGAGGACGAUCAGCCACACUGGGACUGAGACACGGCCCAGACUCCUACGGGAGGCAGCAGUGGGGAAUCUUGCGCAAUGCGCGAAAGCGUGACGCAGCAACGCCGCGUGGGGAAGAAGGCUUUCGGGUCGUAAACCCCUUUCAGGAGGACGAAGCGUUCGGGGUGAAUAGCCUUCCGGAGUGACGGUACCUCACUAAGAAGCCCCGGCUAACUACGUGCCAGCAGCCGCGGUAA
rnacentral:rRNA from 1 species